rnacentral:rRNA from 1 species
GACAGAGGGGGCAAUCGUUGCUCGGAAUUACUGGGCGUAAAGGGCGCGUAGGCGGAAUGGCAAGUCGGUCGUGAAAUCCUUCGGCUCAACCGAAGAACGUCGAUCGAAACUGCCGUUCUUGAGGAUUGCAGAGGAGACUGGAAUUCCCGGUGUAGCGGUGAAAUGUGUAGAGAUCGGGAGGAACACCGGUGGCGAAGGCGGGUCUCUGGGCAAUUCCUGACGCUGAGGCGCGAAAGCGUGGGGAGCAAACGGG